GAGAGCGCCAAAGGUCUACAAUUUAGCUCAUGUACACAGCAAUGCUCUCUUCACUCUGCUCUGGAAUUUUGAAAGUUACUUAGCUAUUUUUAGUUCUACUUUAAUAAAAUAUGUAACUUUGAAUAACAUACUGUAGCUUCAAUUUUCUAUAUCCUAGCAAUAUUUAUUCCUUGUUUUUAGAGUCAGCAUUGAGACUGUCAGUUUUCUGUAGGUCCCUUUCCUGCCUGCCCUGGCUCCUAAUGUUUCUCGGUUGUGCCGUAACUUACAUAUCAUCAAGAUGCAUGAAAGAAGAGGCCAAAAGUUCAUAUUCUGCUCUAUAAUCGUAAAGACUAUGGUUGAGAUUAAACAAAAUUAUCUCUAAGUAAAGCAUGAAAGUGCCUGGAAUAUAAAAGGCAAAGUAGAAUAAAAAGUAGCUGCUCUCCUGCUGAUGGUGAUUUCUAUGGCGAUGGUGACAAGGACGUUGACUCUCUACUUGGGAUUCAAGAAGCCUGGUCACAUCUGGAAAGGUAGGUCCUGUCCAGGUUGACAAUCUAGGAAGGGAAGAGGAGUUCAUGCUUCAUGUGGUACACCUCCAACUCUCCUCUGAAGGAAAGAAGUAAAUUGUUAUAACAAAGAACACCAGCGAAGUCUUGUCAACAUCACUUUCUGAUGGCAAAGCCCGGUAAAGUUGAAUACAUG
rnacentral:lncRNA from 1 species